rnacentral:lncRNA from 1 species
CAAACAAACCUUGUGUGCACCAGAAGCCAGAGACCCCACAGAGACUGAGACAGAACUGUGUUUGAGUGUCUCCUGCAGAGGGCUUUCUCC